rnacentral:tmRNA from 1 species
GGGGCUGAUUAUGGAUUUGACAAAGUUAUAAAACUCUAGGAGCAUGUCAAGGAACGGUAGGCCUUGUAAAAAAACCGUAUAAAAUAGUUGCAAAUAAUGAAAACUACGCUUUAGCAGCAUAAAAAACUGUAAAAGCCCUAUUGCUUAUUAUUUGCUCUUUGAUAAGAGUAAAUAGGUCAUAAAUAAAAGAGAUCGUAUAUAAUUAGUUUAAAAAUUAUAUAUUAAAAAAACUAUUAGACUAUAUAAUAUUAAACUGUGUUUUAUCAGUAAAUAUUACUAAUUUUCCAAAUUAUAAAACUAAACAUGUAGUUCCGAAAGUGUAAUAAUUUUGGACGGGGGUUCGAAUCCCCCCAGCUCCAAUA